UCCCCGUGUGAGUCACCUGGGCAUUUCGGAAGCUGGCCCAACGUCACAUCCAUGUGGAAAUCGUGGUGAUGGGAACUGGAAAUGAAAUCGGUUCUUUUUUCUCAGCCGUUUUUCUGCAGAAAAUCACCAACUGUGGAGAACAAGAAGGGAAAUCAUAAAGAAAGAAAACCCUAAAAACCACCCCGGCGUCCGGGACUGCAGGCUUCGGUCGGGUUUGAAAAGCUGGGGCUGCGCACGUGAUGAGCUCGUACGCGAGCGCCCUGCUCUGGGCCCCUGCGGGGAUUUCGAGAACAUGAAGAGGUCACGGUCCUCGGCCCCCACGCCAGCGUUCCUGCCACCGGACCCCACCUGAUGGGAUGCAGGUCCGAAGUGACGUCUAAGGCCCCAGCGCCUUGACAUUUGCAGGGGCAAAACCAGUCUUAGGUGACGUUCAGAAUCAGAGCAACUAUCAACCCUGCCCUGCACUUAAUUGAUUGCCCCUUCUCCGGGUCUGCACACCAGUGCUCAGGUGAUGCCGCGUUCAGCCCUUCCUAGGUGCCAUUCUCCAGACUAAGUGUUUGAAGUGCACUCUGCCAUUUAAACCUCACAACAACUCCACCUUGAAGCUGAAGAAAUUGAAAUGUAAGAAGCGUAAGCCAUUUGCCUGAAGUCUACACAGUCGGCCAGUGGCAGAGCGGCGACUGGGCCUGGGCCUGUUUACUACAAGGCUUUGUUUAAAUGAGUCAGCAUCUGAAGUCUGGCCAACCCUGGGACACUUACAACAUCAUUUCUGCCCCUCAAGAUUGUGAACCAGAUUUGGGGAAGUGGUGAGUUCUCCAAGAACUUGAUGAACUGCAGGCAAUCCCUGAACUCAGUCGCGUGCCCCCUGGGACCGAACAUACUGUACACAUGCAUCUCAGCAAAUAGCCUUCAGAAAGGAGAUUUAAAACCCAGAACACAGCAUGAGAGAGGGAAUGCAAGUGGGGAGAGAAGCUUAAGCUUCAUGCUCAGCACCCUACCCAAUGCAGGGCUCGCUGCUGUGACCCUGGGAUCAUGACCUGAGCUGAAAUCAAGAGUUGGACAUUCGACUGACUGAGCCACCCAGGUUCCCCUGAAAUUCACAAGCAGCAUUCCUUUAAAUAUUCACAUACUUCCUGACCAAAUAAAUAAAAAUAUA